UCUGUACCUGUGUUGUUUCUUAUUUUCUUGUGGUCAAGGACAAAGCGUUUAAAUUUUACUUUUCUUGUAGUGGAAAUUUCAAAGAGAUGAUAAGUAAUGUACCAUUAGUUUGCCAUGUAUCUCCAAGGGGGAGUGUUUAUGAUGAACAAGAGAACCUGCUAGAAGACAAGCUCAUUAAUUCAAUGAAUGCGGCAUGAGAAAGAAAGUUUUUACUAUACGCAUACCAUGGAAGAUCAGAUACAAAAGGCAGUCCACUCAAAUGAAGGCUUAGACUUCUUACAUCAAGUGUGUUCAACAUUGAGGCGUCUCUCGACCAAAUGGUCCCUGUAGCUACCAAAAACACUAGGCAAAACGAAUAUGAGGCUGUUACUGGUUGCAACAUUCCUACAGAAGUUAAUAUACAUCCUCCGACUGAUGUCCGUACUGUGUGGAGAUGCAAACAAAUAAAGAGAGGAAAGGAGACCAAGGAGGAGAAUCAAAGAAUCAAAGGUAAUGGUCAAACGUUUGUGCAAGACUGCUUGCAAGCAGAUAGUAUUUCAUGAUACUUGCAAUUGUCCAAGCAAAACUAUAGUGAGAACGAGGGCGAUUGUGCAAAGAUCGGCAACCAAAUGGUGCCUUCUGCAACAAAACUUGUACAAGUUGGUGUACUAAAACGAGCGUGAACCCAUGGUUUUAUCAUGUUAUUCUUUACAGUUGAUGUACUAAAGUUAUGCUGUGGAUGAUGGUUUUGUUUUUUCAAACUAGCUUCCGUU